UACGAAGGGGGCUAGCGUUGCUCGGAAUCACUGGGCGUAAAGGGUGCGUAGGCGGGUCUUUAAGUCAGGGGUGAAAUCCUGGGGCUCAACUCCAGAACUGCCUUUGAUACUGAGGAUCUUGAGUUCGGGAGAGGUGAGUGGAACUGCUAGUGUAGAGGUGAAAUUCGUAGAUAUUCGCAAGAACACCAGUGGCGAAGGCGGCUCACUGGCCCGAUACUGACGCUGAGGCACGAAAGCGUGGGGAGCAAACAGG
rnacentral:rRNA from 1 species